rnacentral:rRNA from 1 species
GACGAACGCUGGCGGCGUGCUUAACACAUGCAAGUCGAGCGGGAUCCAACCGGUGGCAACACCGGGGAAGAUCUAGCGGCGAACGGGUGAGUAACACGUGAGCAACCUGCCCCGAAGACUGGGAUAACACCGGGAAACCGGUGCUAAUACCGGAUGUCGUCAUUAGGCCGCAUGACCUGAUGAUGAAAGGAUUCAUCGCUUCGGGAGGGGCUCGCGGGCUAUCAGCUGGUUGGUGGGGUAACGGCCUACCAAGGCGACGACGGCUAGCUGGUCUGAGAGGACGACCAGCCACACUGGGACUGAGACACGGCCCAGACUCCUACGGGAGGCAGCAGUGGGGAAUCUUGCGCAAUGGGCGAAAGCCUGACGCAGCAACGCCGCGUGGGGGAUGAAUG